GACCCAUCCCGAGCGGCCGAGAGACCUGGAUCGAUGAAGCCGCAGCAACCCGCCCCCUUGCACAAGCCGUCAGGCUGACCACGGGCAACGGUGCUACUGCCAGGACCGAUGGAAA
rnacentral:ncRNA from 1 species